GACCAGUUAGCUCAGUUGGUUAGAGCGUAGUGCUACUAAUGCCAAGGUUGUGGAUUUGAUCCCCAUACGGGCCA